UACGCUCGGGGACGGCCGGUAGCUCGGCGAUUCCUCGCUUGGCGCACCAUUGAAAACCGGCGGUCAUCCAGCAGUGUACGCUGCCAGCGUAUUUUUUAUUGCCAGAGGUAGCAAACAGCAGUGCCACAACAAACAGUGGAGUGCUGACCAUGCAGUCCAGAAGGUGGCUGAGGCAAGUAUGCUAUAGGAGGUGCUUAUUCAGGCGGAAGAAAUAAGCAUCUGUAGCCAACGUAAAGGAAGCAUCUUCAAAAGGCAGUGCUACAAGGAUGUGAGCAGCAGUUUCCCUUCAACGAACGGGUCAAACUCAUGGAAGCCACGUGCCUGCUGCUUCUGGCCUACACAAACAUGCAGCCACCAUAGUAAAGUUCUUGCAAAGACAUUCUACACGAAUUUGCCCAAAGGCGGAAGGAAGGCACGCACAGAUGGACGCACAGAAAUCAUGGGGCUGCCGUAGAAGCUGUGAAUGAGCAU